rnacentral:rRNA from 1 species
AUACGUAGGUGGCAAGCGUUGUCCGGAAUUAUUGGGCGUAAAGCGCAUGUAGGCGGUGCCUUAAGUCUGUUGUGAAACUGCGGGGCCUAACCCCGUAUGGCGAUGGAAACUGGGGCACUUGAGUGCAGGAGAGGAAAGGGGAACUCCCAGUGUAGCGGUGAAAUGCGUAGAUAUUGGGAAGAACACCGGUGGCGAAGGCGCCUUUCUGGACUGUGUCUGACGCUGAGAUGCGAAAGCCAGGGUAGCGAACGGGAUUAGAUACCCCGGUAGUCCUGGCCGUAAACGAUGGGUACUAGGUGUGGGAGGUAUCGACCCCUUCCGUGCCGGAGUUAACGCAAUAAGUCCCCCGCCUGGGGAGUACGGCCGCAAGGCUUAAACUCAAAUGAAUUGACGGGG